rnacentral:rRNA from 1 species
GACGAACGCUGGCGGCGUGCCUAAUACAUGCCAGUCGAACGCUUCUUUCCUCCCGAGUGCUUGCACUCAAUUGGAAAGAGGAGUGGCGGACGGGUGAGUAACACGUGGGUAACCUACCCAUCAGAGGGGGAUAACACUUGGAAACAGGUGCUAAUACCGCAUAACAGUUUAUGCCGCAUGGCAUAAGAGUGAAAGGCGCUUUCGGGUGUCGCUGAUGGAUGGACCCGCGGUGCAUUAGCUAGUUGGUGAGGUAACGGCUCACCAAGGCCACGAUGCAUAGCCGACCUGAGAGGGUGAUCGGCCACACUGGGACUGAGACACGGCCCAGACUCCUACGGGAGGCAGCAGUAGGGAAUCUUCGGCAAUGGACGAAAGUCUGACCGAGCAACGCCGCGUGAGUGAAGAAGGUUUUCGGAUCGUAAAACUCUGUUGUUAGAGAAGAACAAGGACGUUAGUAACUGAACGUCCCCUGACGGUAUCUAACCAGAAAGCCACGGCUAACUACGU